GGACGGAGGGUGCUAGCGUUGUUCGGAAUCACUGGGCGUAAAGGGCGCGUAGGCGGCCCUCCUUGUCGCGUGUGAAAGCCCCGGGCUCAACCUGGGAACGGCGCGCGAGACGGGGGGGGCUGGAGUUCGGGAGAGGAGCGUGGAAUUCCCAGUGUAGAGGUGAAAUUCGUAGAUAUUGGGAAGAACACCGGUGGCGAAGGCGGCCAUCUGGGACCGGUUCUGACGCUGAGGCGCGAAAGCGUGGGGAGCAAACAGG
rnacentral:rRNA from 1 species